UACGUAGGGUGCAAGCGUUGUCCGGAAUUAUUGGGCGUAAAGAGCUCGUAGGCGGUCUGUCGCGUCGGCUGUGAAAACCCGGAGCUCAACUCCGGGCCUGCAGUCGAUACGGGCAGACUGGAGUUCGGCAGGGGAGACUGGAAUUCCUGGUGUAGCGGUGAAAUGCGCAGAUAUCAGGAGGAACACCGAUGGCGAAGGCAGGUCUCUGGGCUGACACUGACGCUCAUGCACGAAAGCGUGGGGAGCAAACAGG
rnacentral:rRNA from 1 species